CUCAUUGGGAGUGGUGGCGGAGUUGAGUGUUGUGUUUAGGUGUGGUUGAAAGAAAGCGACAAUGAGUGUGCGUUUUGGAGAGAGAGAGAGUGUGUGUGUGAGUGAGUGAGUGUGCGUCCGUCCGUGUGUUACGGUGAGGUGGCUGAACCGCCCUGUUUCCCUCCUACACUCUUGAUCUUAUUUGAUCGGCCGGGAGGCCCGGGCCCCGGCCCGAGGUGAUGAGAAAAAACCGCUCGCGAGCUGCUGGCAAUGGGCGGAGGCGGCGGGAAAGGCCCCGGGCGGAGCGGAAUUGAUGAACAGAUCAGAUAGAUGAGGCUGCGGCUCAAAGCCCGGCCACUGAGUAUCGAGGCGAUUCUGAUCCGC